rnacentral:rRNA from 1 species
GACAGAGGUGCCGAGCGUUAGGCGGAAUCACUGGGCUUAAAGCGUGUGUAGGCGGGGCGUUAAGUGUCUUGGGAAAUCCCCCGGCUCAACCGGGGAAUGGCUGGGCAUACUGGCGAUCUUGAGCAGUCUAGGGGCAGAUGGAACAAGUGGUGGAGCGGUGAAAUGCGUAGAUAUCACUUGGAACGCCAAAGGUGAAAACAGUCUGCUGGGGACUUGCUGACGCUGAGACACGAAAGCCAGGGGAGCGAACGGG